rnacentral:rRNA from 1 species
GAUGAACGCUAGCGGCAGGCUUAACACAUGCAAGUCGAGGGGUAUUGGUUUUCGGACCAAGAGACCGGCGCACGGGUGCGUAACGCGUAUGCAAUCUACCUUUUGCAGAGGGAUAGCCCAGAGAAAUUUGGAUUAAUACCUCAUAGUAUAGUACUUUGGCAUCAAGGAACUAUUAAAGUCACAACGGCAAAAGAUGAGCAUGCGUCCCAUUAGCUAGUUGGUAAGGUAACGGCUUACCAAGGCUACGAUGGGUAGGGGUCCUGAGAGGGAGAUCCCCCACACUGGUACUGAGACACGGACCAGACUCCUACGGGAGGCAGCAGUGAGGAAUAUUGGUCAAUGGGGCGCAAGCCUGAACCAGCCAUGCCGCGUGCAGGAAGACGGUCCUAUGGAUUGUAAACUGCUUUUUAUACGGGAAGAAACCCUCCACGUGUGGGANCUUGACGGUACUGUAGGAAUAAGGAUCGGCUAACUCCGUGCCAGCAGCCG